CCAUAUCACAGACCGUCCUCACAAACUCACGGUGGUCUACUUCAUCCCAAUUCCACACAAACAAAGCAUAGCAUUAUCACAACACAAUUAAUCAAACAUUGAAAUCAAAUGUAGACACAUUAAUCAAUUGCACGUCGUAAUGCGAGGCACAAUUUGACAUCCGUUCUCAAAUGCAAAUAAAUGAAUAAAUAAAUAAAUAAAUAAUAUUAACAAUAAACAACAACAAUAAAAUAAAUAACAAUAAUAAACAACAAUAAUGAAAAUAAAUAAAUAAUUGAAUAAUUAAAUGAAUAAUCAUGAUAAUAAUAAAAUAAUCAGAGCACUUUUAUUUAUUAAAUAUCAAGUUAUAGAAUUAAUCUAAAUAAACUUAUUAAUUAUGUGUAGCCUAGGUUCUGCUGAAAUUUCGGCAACAUUUCCCCUAAAAAUUGGACUAUCUACCUGUUUAAAUAUCAAAAAUUUCAUUCAAUAUUAACUCAAUUCACACAGCCCAUCCGUCGGGCAAUCAAUCAAAUCAAAUACUCCAUCCUCCUUCAAUAGCAACAUCAUAGCUAACAAACCAUUUAAAUUGUCUACCCAUUAUACAUUACUUGUUUAUACAUAUAUAUGAGCGUCCUUCUAUUGCAACACAAAAAAAACACUCAAAUGAUUGAUGCCAACUUGCAGAAUUCAAAGUUUUUUUUUUGUUAGAAUCAUGGAUUAAACAUUAACUAACUAUUCCUAUCAAAAAUCAACUGUACAACUGCAAUGUACUAUACUAGACUACAACUCACCAAAAAAAUAAAUUGAAAUAAUUGCUGCCAAAUCCAAAAGUUUAGGCUUCAUGGUUAAAUUUUCAUAUUUUACUCACUAGCUAACUCACUACCCUACAAGAACUUAAUUUACAACUUCAAAUACCCAUCCCAAACAUUAUAAUUCAAAGAACCAACUAAUUAAUUGCUGCUAGCUCAAGGAAUUCAAAAUUCUCUAUUUAAUACCCAAAAUAUAUCCACCAUUCUUUAAUCAUUACUAAAAUUCUAGAUUAGGCAUUACGAACCAAUGUUUCCAUUAAAUUGCAAUUUAGUAAUCUCAUCUCUCAAGUAAUCCAAUACACAGCUUAAACAUAUAUACCAACCCCAACAAGUAUAAGAACAUCAAGGAAAAUAUAUAUCCAUUUCAUGUUAACCUAUUAAAAGAACACAACAUAUUCAAGAUGGUUGCUGCCCGCCAAAAGAAUAUAUGUUCCUUAACUCCUAAACUUAUGUGUAUAUAUAUAUAUAUAUAUAUAAGUUCAACUCAUUCCCAUCAUAAAUUAAAAUCCCAAUCACAUAAUCCAUAUCAAAAAGAGUUCAAGGCAAAGAGACUAAAAUGGCUACUGCCAUUCCAAAUUCCUCAACUUCUUCCACCUAAACCUGCAGUAAAUUUAUUAGUUGAUUUAUAGGCAUGUUGAAUUGCGAUUCACAAUCAAAUUUUUAAGAGUAACGCUUAAAGUUCCUUUCAAUGCUAACAGUAACUAACCAAGGGUUAAUUCCUAACAUUCCAAUAAUACUACAAAUCAUAAUCUUAAAUGAAAAAUUCAAGAAACAAACCCAAAAGGAUUGAAUUAUGGCUCACCUAGUCCAGAAAUAUGACAGAAAAAUUGAAUAUGCUUAUUAAAAGUGAUCGAAAACGAACCUUAAAAUCAAAACCCACUGCUGUCGGCGAUAGCUUGAUCGAAAAUGUGUGGGAAGGUGGCCGGAGGCAUGCUGGAAGCGAGAAGAGAGCGUGGUCCGGCCGGUCCUUG
rnacentral:lncRNA from 1 species